AUGCCCGUAGCUCAACAGUAGAGCAAUGGUCUCCAAAACCAUAGACGUGGGGGCGGCACCUACCGGGCAUGCCA
rnacentral:tRNA from 1 species